UUAUGUUGCUGUAAAGCGGGCCGGAGCUAUUGUAUAAUUACUGGCCAAAAAACUCGAACCUCGUGAGCCACACGUGCCUCACCGUAACUAACACCACUCCCCGCUUAUCUCCCAAAGUCCCGCCAUUUUUUUCCACCUCCACCUUCUCCACACCUCAAAAUCCCAAAAAUGUCCAAAAUCCUCUCCCUUCCCGCCAUUUCCAGCCGUCCAAACCCAAACCCAAACCCUAACCCUGACUUCCCCAAUCCCCACAGACAUCGUCGAACCCGAGCCACUACUCUCACUCUCACCCGCUCGUCCCUCACCGACCAAUCCCUCUCCUCCGCCGCCGCCAAGCGCGACCUCCUCGACCUGAUCUCCGACCAGGACCGAGGCCUCAGGACUCAGAACGACCCCUCCAGGCUCUCGAAAAUCGUCGAGGCAAUCGACGCCCUGGCCGUCUCGGGCUGCGACACGGUCACCACCGGCCCGUCCCUCUCCGGCACGUGGCGGCUUAUGUGGACGACGGAGAAGGAACAGCUGUUCAUCAUUAAGAACGCGUACCUCUUCGGGACGCGGACCGGUGACGUUUUGCAGGUGAUCGAUGUUGAUCAGGGCGUUUUGAACAACGUGAUUACUUUUCCGCCUCAUGGUGUUUUCUUUGUUCGGUCCACAGUCGAGAUCGCUUCAACUCAGAGAGUGAAUUUCAGGUUUACAAGUGCAGUUCUACGUGGGGAGAAUUGGGAGCUUCCAUUACCACCAUUUGGGCAGGGGUGGUUUGAGUCCGUUUAUCUUGAUGAUGAAAUUCGAGUUGUGAAGGAUAUUCGAGGAGACUAUUUAGUCGUUGAUCGAGCUCCUUAUAGUUGGAAGGAAUAAAGGCAGGAUGUGACCUUAUCCCAUUUAUCAGUUUUAUGUGGUUUAGAUCUAUAUACCUAGAUGAUGGCAUUCGAGUGGCAAAAGACAUCCGCGGAGAUUAUUUAGUUGUUGACCGUGCUCCUUAUGAAUGGAAAGAAUAAGGUUUCUUUCAGAUGGCACAUUUAACUCCUUCAAAUUAGUCGAGGAACUUCAUCUUUGGAAAGCUUAACUAUGUUAGGCAGAUAUUGGUUCACUCCAUGCUAUAGUUUAUCAGAAUCUUGGUUCCAAGUAUUUUGUACAUUUUGUCAACUUGUACUGAAGAUUUGCUGUCAUAUGGUUUAUGUGUUUAUGCGCUAGUGUAUGUAUUCUUGAGUAGUAGUAGCUACAAGAAGUUAUUCCAGGGUGUUGUGUAUAACUUAAUUUUAUUUAUUCGGCAGUUUGUUUAUCUAUGGUAUCUUUCCCACUUGAGUCAAUUUGGGAACUACUCUUGUAAUCCUUCCGUCUAGGAAUCCAUACGAUACCAACAUUCUAAUUCUUGUUCUGAUA